GUGUUUUCUGCUUGAAAGUUGAAUUGUGUUUGUGUUAUAAUUUAUAUUCUAUAGGUAUAAUUAAACAAUGGUUCAUUUUUAUAGUGUUUUUAAUUUCUCCAGUACAAAUGAUGUCAAAAAUGAAUUAAUAUUCCAUAAGUUUCCACUCAAUGAUAGUGAAAGGUUAAAAAAAUGGGUAAAUGCUGUCGGACGGACAAACAAAAUUGUACCUACUUCUUUUUUAUGCAGUCUACAUUUUACUGAAAAUGAUUACAAUAUUACAAAUUUGUUUUGGAAAAAUGUGCUGUGCCAACUAUUAGAUCAUUUAAUGCAAAAGGUGAAAGAAAGGCAAAUUCUGCAAUGAUCUGUGGAAAUUCAUAUGGCACAAAAAUGAUGUUUGUUGAUGAUGGUGUCCAAACAAAACUAACUGGUGAAGAGUUUAACUAAACAAUACUUGAUUUACACCAAGAAAAGAAAAUACUGCAACAAAAACGUAUGUAAAGAGAUAAUCAAGGUUUUAAGGAUCAGAUGAGACAAACGCAAAGAAAAGAAAACUAAAAAGAAAAAGAACUCUAGUUGGUGAAACAAUUGGCAAAGAAGAUAAAUCCUACAAUGAAGAAAAAAUAGAUGAGCCAAAAAAUAAUGCUGCAGAAAUUGAUGAUGAAGGAUAUUGUAUUCGGCCAUCAGGACAAUGAACUGUUGAUAUAGAAGAAACAUUUGAUUCCUCUUCUGAUUCGGGUUCUUAAUUUGUACUUGUUGCAAUUCAAAACAAAGUGUACUUAUUAUGAAUGACUUUAUAGAUGAAGAAAGUCAUAAAAGACUACAUGUUGAGAUAAAACCAUUAAGCAAUGGGGCAGGCCCAAACAUUGCAAGUGUUGAUGAAUUAAGAGCUACUGUUCAAAACAUAUCAUUAUUACCUUUAGGAACACAUACUUGAAAGGUAACUAGAAAAAAAAAUAUCAAAUUGUACUUAAAAUUGUAAUAAUAAAUUAAAAUAGUUUUAAGUUCAAAAACAGCAUUUGGUGGAGAUCUAUAUUAUAUAAGUAUGCACAAUUAAAAAUAUUAUACAACUACAGUUUGAUGUCUAUGAGAAAUUUUUUUACAUUUAAAUAUAACA